GAGAGAGCUGAAGAGCUCCUUUCAAUCCAAUGUGGAGGGCCAAGGAGUGGUUAGAGCUGCCAUCUCAUGCAUUUGGUUAUGCUUAAUGUGGAGAUUUUGAGGGUUAAGUUUAACAAGUGCAUGAUAUGGGAGCAACUCUUCCGUUUGCUUCGCCUGUUAAUUGGAUUGAAGGGAGCUCUCAGCGAUCACUUC
rnacentral:pre_miRNA from 1 species